CCUACGGGUGGCAGCAGUGAGGAAUAUUGGUCAAUGGACGGGAGUCUGAACCAGCCAUGCCGCGUGCGUGAGGAAGGAUCUGAGUAUUGUAAACUGCUUUUGUACGAGAAUAAUAAUUCUGACGCGUAGUGAGUUGCAUGUAUCGUCAGAAUAAGAAUCGGCUAGCUCCGUGCCAGCAGCCGCGGUAAUACGGAGGAUGCGAGCGUUAUCCGGAUUGAUUAGGUUUAUAGGGUGCGUCGGCUGUCUGAUAAGUCAGAGGUGAAAUGCCGGGGCUUAACCCCGUGCCUGCGUUUGAUACUGUACGACUAGAGAGCGGAUGCAGUAGGCGGAAUGAGUAGUGUAGCGGUGAAAUGCGUAGAUAUUACGCAGAACACCGAUGGCGAAGGCAGCUUGCUAGCCCGCAACUGACGCUGAUGCACGAAAGCGUGGGUAGCGAACAGGAUUAGAUACCCGUGUAGUC
rnacentral:rRNA from 1 species